GACGUAGGGCGCGAGCGUUGUCCGGAUUUAUUGGGCGUAAAGAGCUCGUAGGCGGUUUGUUGCGUCUAUCGUGAAAACCUGCAGCUUAACUGUGGGCUUGCGGUGGAUACGGGCAGACUUGAGUUCGGUAGGGGAGACUGGAAUUCCUGGUGUAGCGGUGAAAUGCGCAGAUAUCAGGAGGAACACCGGUGGCGAAGGCGGGUCUCUGGGCCGAUACUGACGCUGAGGAGCGAAAGCGUGGGGAGCGAACAGG
rnacentral:rRNA from 1 species